GCGACUGGAGCGGGAAGAGCUCAAAAUGUGAAUCUAAUAGCCUUAGCUGGCUGUUCGAAUUGUGGUCUACAGAUUUGGAUUUGGAGCGCGUGGCGGGAUAAGUCCAUUGGAACAUGGCGGCAGAGAGGGUGAGACCCCCGUUCAUGCCUUCCGCGUCAACCAUAACAUUCCUUAUCGAUGAGUCGAGUUGCUUGGGAUUGCAGCUCAAAGUGGGUGGUAAAUUCCAUCCAAAGCUAAAUACAGGCGAGAGACCGAUAGCGAACAAGUACCGCGAGGGAAAGAUGAAAAGACCUUUGAAAAGAGAGUUAAAAAGUACCUGAAAUUGUUGAAAGGGAAGUGUUUGAGCUCAGUGUU
rnacentral:rRNA from 14 species